rnacentral:piRNA from 1 species
UGUGCACUGGAUGUGAAAACCUCUUCUUCC